rnacentral:rRNA from 1 species
UACGAAGGGGGCUAGCGUUGCUCGGAAUCACUGGGCGUAAAGCGCACGUAGGCGGAAUGCUAAGUCAGGGGUGAAAUCCUGGAGCUCAACUCCAGAACUGCCCUUGAUACUGGCGGUCUCGAGUCCGGGAGAGGUGAGUGGAACUGCGAGUGUAGAGGUGAAAUUCGUAGAUAUUCGCAAGAACACCAGUGGCGAAGGCGGCUCACUGGCCCGGUACUGACGCUGAGGUGCGAAAGCGUGGGGAGCAAACAGGG